ensembl:lncRNA
UGAUCACUUUCUGUAUUUUCAGUUGAAAAUGAAGAUAAACAAUGAAGCAUUUUUAUCAAUUAUUUCAAAGCAUUUUACAAAAAAAAAAAAAAAAUCAGGAUAAAAAUCUUUUUUAACUAAUGAAGAAACUUAGGAAGAGCAAAAAAAAUGUGGAAAAAGAAAGGAAAACAUGAUUUUCUCAGUAUUACGAGACACAAACUACUAAAUCCUUUAACUACAGAAUUGAGUCUGACUGACAGCUGAAGAAAAGUACACCUGGUAUUUAGAGAUAAACACUCUCAGUGUCAUAAAAAGGUAUGCCAGAUCUAACCUUCAGCCUGGACUUAGAAUGUCACAGUACAAAGGAAAUAGUUUUGUUUUUAUUCUUUGUCAUUAACAGGCUGGCUGAGCCAGGAGUUGGCUCUGAGUUCCUUAAAAAUGAGAGCAAAAAUGUAAUGUAUUUACGUCCUAAUCACAAAAAUGCCAGAAUAGUCUGCAUACUUUGUUAAUAGUCCUAAUGCCUUUCCAGGAAGGACAUACAGAGUAGUCUCAUUGGGGUUACUCUUAGUGUUAAAAUCAUGGAUCUGUUAAAUGUGUUAGGAAAUUAUGAUCUUUACUGUAUAAUUAGUAAGAUCUCUUGAUUCUCAUUGCUUAAGAUCCCAGAAGCUGAUAGGAGCUACUUUCUCUAUUUUACAGUGGGUAAGCUUGGGUGCAUGAAGAUAGUCCUGCCAAAGGCCAGGCAGGGAAUCCUUAACAAAGCCCAGAGCCCUUUAAGUUUCAUCUGAGUACUUUAACUUCACAGCAGCAAUUUUUAUCACCCUUUUAAUUUCACUGAAAAAGCCUUUAAAUACUCAAUAUAAUAACAGGUGACUGAAGGAUGAUCUGGAGGUAACUUGAAAGGAGAAGAUUUUUUUGCUUUCCACCUUAAAAAAGCACGGGUAUAUUAAACAAUGAGAACUGACAACAAAGGUAAGCUAAAAGCUAAACAUAAUAAGACACUGUUUUCAGCAUUUCAAAAGAACUAAAUACAACACAUCAGCAGCUUCAAAAUCCUUUUGAACAAAUGCACUCAGAAACAACUAACUGGCAAACAAAGCUAUUAUGAAGAUGACAGUGUGGCCAGUGAUCUUUUGGCACAUCAACUCCAUAAAGUGUAGGCCUCUAGGAAUACUCCUCACAUUUCAGUAAGUAGAAGAGCAAAUUUAACAACAGAUACUGAGGUCAGGGUAUUAUAAUUUGUUGAUUUUUACAAAGUUUAAUAGAUGAGAAUGUCCCCAAAAUGAGAAGUAUAUCCCUUAUUUAUUGUUGAAGGGAUUUGAUUUACUUUAAAUUUUAAAGGAUCGAUACAGUGAUCAGAAUUUCAGAGUCCCAGUCACAAUACUUUAUAUUUAGAUUAAUUUUUAUUCUGCCAAAGCAAUAUAGAAGCAUCUUAAACAGCACUCAUAACAUAAGAUAGAUGUCCUGUACCCUAUCAUGUAUCAUAAUUAACUAAGUAAUUAAGCUGCUCUCAACAGACAGAUAGAAGAUCAUGCUAGUUUACGAAGACUACAAAGCAUGGUUCAAAUAAUACAUGGAAAUAACAACAUCCUUUCAAAAAUACAAGUCUUCUUUAGCUGCUGGUUUUGUGUAACUAUACAUAAGAAGCUGUAUAGCAGAAAAAAAUCUUUCAGCCUCAUUAAUAAGGAAUGUCACUAAAAAAUAGGUAGGUAAUCAUGUCUCAUUAUCUUUCAAGAAUGUCACAGCAGAAUCAACACAGCUUCAGUGAGUAUACUGCUGGAUUGCUUCCCUUCUCAUAGCUUUCAGAAGGACUAUCAUUAUAUUUUCAGUAACAAAUCUUCACAAUUUGUAGGAUUGUAAAAAUGCUGAAUAAGAAUGUCCAUUAUUAAAAAGGAAGGAAUCAAAUUGAAUAGUUUUUCUAAUGUCAUAAACACCGCUGAGUCCACAACGUCCAUCUUCUAGGCUUUGAUUAAUAGAAGUCAUUAUAAACAUGCUUGAAUUUAACUUUCCUGAAUAGGAGGACUUUAAGGAUUAAUAUGGGCCUCUGGAAAUGAGAUACAAGAUGUUCUGAAGGAUGCUAACCUCUGACUGAACAGGACAGAAGCUCUUCUGAUUCCCCAGUUUGGAUGAGAAAUUGUGUCUGCUCCUCAGAGAAAGAAAAAAAAUGAAGACUGGAGAAGAUGCAGUUAUCCCUUAUCCUCAUGAACCUCAUUUUAGCAGAUAAAAAGAUACUGAGUCUAGAGAGCAGAUGAGCUGGAUCCAUUACCACAUUUGUAUGACUUAUGGUGGUAGAACUGAUUAUGCCUUAUGGCACCAAAAUCUAGUAAUUCUUGCAGACGGCCCUUGUUCACGGUAAUCAGCCUAUUUGAGGGCAUUCUGCUUUUCAGUGUCCUUGUCAAUGCUAGCACAGAGAUAGAAACAUGCUGCUUCAUGCUCAGAGCUCUCUUGGGGCUUUAGUCUCUUCAUUAUGUGUAGUCCAGGUGUGGCCUAUGACAGAGACCUUUGAAGAAACGGUCUAUACAACUUUGUAUAUUUGUUGAUGGGAGGCUUGGGAAGUAGUUCGACAGGAGGAUUUGUGCCUGUAGAAGUUUAUGGGCAUGUUGGUAAUUUGCACCAGGACUUCUGAGCUGCUUGCUAAUAUCCUUGCCAAAAGUCAUGGAGCUCAGAUUUACAUGGAGUAUAUUUGUCAUUAGGAUUGGUAUUCAUCAAAUGUAACCUCGGUAUCUUGUAUUACUAAAUGUUUUGAUGCGAGUUGUUUUAAUUUUUCCAGAGAUAACCCUGGACUUAUCUUUAAAGCACUCAACAUCCAAUCUCCUCCUGUUUUGCCUUUGCUUAGCUCUCAGCUCUCUGUGUUGAGUGUGAUUGGUGACCUUUUUAAAGAAAGGUAUCAUCACUAAAAGUCUCCUCAUUGACAGCAUCCAUACUCUUAUGUUUUGUAGCUAAUGGAUUUUUUACCAUCUAAAAUAUUAUACAAAGUUUUGUCCCAGUAAAAGCUCACAUGCAGCUGUAAAGUGAUGUCUGCAGCUUAAAGGAGUGUCCCCUCUAAGAGUCGCUGGCAUAUGGGUUUUUAUGUAUUAGGGUCUGUAAAUGAGAUACCACUUGCAAAGAUUAACCAUGUUUCAGGGCUGUGUGCCAGAUGGUAAAAACCAUAUGAGUUGUGGAGUCCUUAGAGAUUUUUUUUUUUUUAGUUUGUUUUUGUUUAUCAUAGAGAAUAUGCUUCUGGGUUCAUAAAGUUUCAGCAUGUUCUUUCUAACGCGUCAUGGAGAAAGAAGUAUUAACUCUAUCCUGAAUCCAGGCCACCGACAGCUAUAAAAAUAGCCUUUAAAAGAGGAGGUAGGCAGCCUAUUUCCUGGGAGAAAAAAAUAGCGGUUUUAAAAUACUUUCUGUGUUGAUGCUAAAAUUAAUGGGUUGUUAUUGUUAUUCUCUGAAAUGAUCUAUUCAGAAGAUAAAGCAAUAUUUUUUGAAACGAAUGUAUUUAAAUACUCUGCUCACGCUGUUUGCCUGGUUAUGUAGUAUUGUUCUUACUACAAUGAACUACGCGUGCUUGGGUGUAAGCUUGCAUUCAAAUAGUACCACAGAGCAGCUUCCCCAGUCAGAUAUACAAAUAACUGGAGAUAUGUGAAAGCCAUGGUGAUGUGAGGCCACAGGCCAGGCAAGCCAAUGCAAGUCAUGGCACACAGCCAGCUUUAACAAGACUCUUCAGUGUACCCUGCUUGGGAGUAAGGCUUGCUGUGUAUGGUCUCUAGGAAGGUGAUGAACCCAUGAUUUUUAGCACAGAUAAAAAGGACACACCAUAAGUUAUCUAAUUGGACAGCAGAAUUUCCAUUUUCUUUGCUUGUGGAAAUUUACCUAACAACAACCUCCAUGUUGGAAAGCAGGCAGCAGCCACACAAGGUCGGUGGAGAUGCAGGAUGGAAAGGACCCUGAAGGCAGUGAGGCCCAGGCCGGCCUCGUGUGGGACGAACCGCAGCCCGUACCGCUUCCAUUGCCCGUAAUACGGAGGUUUGCCCUCGUCGCUGCGGUUUCGCUGCGGUUUCAGCCACCGCCGCGGAGCGCCCGGAGUCCGCUGGGGUCGGUCGGCAG